UCUAUAGAGGCGUUUUCCGUGCCGGACCGUGUCCAAGUCCCUUGGAACAGGGUAUCAAAGAGGGUGACAAUCCCGUACUUGACACGACUACCGGUGCUCUGUGAUACGUCUUCUACGAGUCGAGUUGUUUGGGAAUGCAGCUCAAAAUGGGUGGUGAGUUCCAUCUAAAGCUAAAUAUUGGCGAGAGACCGAUAGCGAACAAGUACCGUGAGGGAAAGAUGAAAAGCACUUUGGAAAGAGAGUUGAACAGUACGUGAAAUUGUUGAAAGGGAAACGAUUGAAGUCAGUCGUGACCGAGAGGCUCAGCCGGCUCUGCCGGUGUAUUCCCCUCGGUCGGGUCAACAUCAGUUUUGUCCGGUGGAUAAGGGCGGCAGGAAUGUGGCACCCUCGGGUGUGUUAUAGCCUGCUGUCGCAUACACCGGGUGAGACUGAGGAACGCAGCUCGCCUUUAUGGCCGGGGCCCGCCCACGUACGAGCUUAGGAUGUUGACGUAAUGGCUUUAAACGACCCGUCU
rnacentral:rRNA from 1 species